rnacentral:lncRNA from 1 species
UUGUUUACCAUCUUUAGGAAUGAUCUAGCCUGAGAGGGACGGUCUAGCCCCCACAGCAAGACCCCAGGAUGAAAAUGUACCCUAACAAAAAAAAAAAAAACAUAAUUAAUACAAUUGGUCCUUUAAUAUUUUAUCUUACUCUGAGGAACCCUCAGACAUUGGGAGUGGAGAUUUUCACACAGGAGGGCAUAAGUUGCCCUAAGUGACACAGAACACGUUCUGAGAGUUAGGAAGAGAAAUACAGGUAUCUGCCUAACCAGUACUUGCAGUCCUGCCCAUAACCCAGUUUUCCAUCAUGCUUGGUGUCUUAGUCUGUCUGUGUUGCUACAUAUCUGAGGCUGUGGGUAACUUAGAAAGAGGCUUAUUUGGCUCAUGGUUCAGCAGGCUGUGCAAGCAUAGCACUGGCAUCUGACCUGCUUCUGGUGAGGACUAUUUGCUGUGUCAAACAGGGCAGAGAAGGUCAAGGGCAGUGAGCCAAACCCGAGGGACGGCUUGGCUUUAUCACAACCAUGCUCCCAGUAACUAGUGCAUUCCCCUACAAACCAAUCCAGGCUUGACACAGCAAGAAUGAAUGGUAUCCAACCAUUCAGGAGGGUGCCCCCAUGACCCAAACCCCCACCAGGCCCCCUCCCAGCACUGCCACACUGAGGGUCAAAGCUCAACAUGAGACUUGAUGAGGGCAAACCAAUCACAUCCACAUCACAGCAUAUGGUAUUACUCAAGAAAAUCACUUUGAAAUGUUGGGGGUCCAAUGAUAAUAUCCUUGAGGAGUUAUAAAGGUGAUAAAGGGAUGAGUUUGACAAUUAUCAGGAUGGCAGGUCUGUAGUUCUGCUGCAGGAGGGUAUGAAGCAAACAGUUAGUAUGUGUAAAGAAGAGGCUCUGUGUGAAGCCAAGUCAAGGGAGUAAGGAGAUGAGAUGGAAAGCUGCAGCGGAGGAGAAGGCACUGGGGAGACAGUGGCCUUCCCAGAGGCUGAUAGGAGGCGGGCACCUCCUGGUGAAACAAAACAUUUUGGUAUCAAUUAUUGAGACUUCACAGACACUACUAACUCCUACCAGAUUUUCCUACAGGCAAGGGGUGCAGGGCUGUGGGUUUUGGUUGAGAUUACACCAGGAUCACGGGUUAGCGGACAGCAAGCUCAGCUCAUCACAGAAUCUCAAAUAUCAAAUUUGUGCCUUAGGAACCCCAGUCCAUGGGCAUCGCUGCUGAGGAGGUUCUGAAGAAGUGCGUGAAGUCACCUCCAGUGAAGGGAGGGGGAGUCGUCGGAGGGGUAGUCGUCUUAAUUGAGGUCUGUGCUGGGGUGAUGUCUCCACCAACAGUGGGCAUAUCAGGCAGGGUGGUGUCUGGGCUACCGCCUGCUCAGGAUGCUGUCACUAGGAGUCCGAGCACCAGGAUGAUGCAGUCCUGGCGUCACCUGUGACCCACAAGUUCUGGACUCAGGCAACUGUGAGUCAGUUCUAGCAGAGACCUGCAGGACUUAUUUCAGCCAAUCAGGAUGUCACCUGAGACCAGUCCAGGAGCCGCUACAACCCCACAAGCUGGUUCCCGCUAAUCUGAUGACCUUUAGUGUCAAUGCCAACAAUUAAAGGUGGCAACAGAUGAGCUAAAUAGCCACACUCAAUCCCACAAGAGAAACAUGGCACAACCCACUCCUCUCCACAACAAACACGUAACAUGAAGGUGCAUGGCUCUGUCCAUCCAGAAUUUCAAACACGUGACAUGAAGGUGCACAGGUCUGUCCAUCCAGGAUUUCAAACAUGUGACAGGAAGGUGCACGGGUCUGUCCAUCCAGAAUUUUAAACACGUAACAUGAAGGUGCAUGGGUCUGUCCAUCCAGAAUUUCAAACACGUGACAUGAAGGUGGACGGGUCUGUCCAUCCAGGAUUUCAAACACGUAAUAUGAAGGUGCACGGGUCUGUCCAUCCAGGAUUUAUUGUUCACCUCGUUGUAGAUUACCUUUAUACCGUGGGGAUUCAACACCACAGAAACAGUCACCAAGCAGCUGCUGCCCUGAUGGCCACAAAAAACAUAACCCAGGAUUGCUGCAGCCAGAGGACACACAUUCGUGUCACUCACAUGAAGUCUUGCUCUGCCACUGUGUGUGUUUAAGGGCCUCAUCCAAGAAGCGCCAGUGACAGGGCCAAGCGCCACAGAACAUCAGGACCAGCCGUGUCCCUGGUCUGUUUUCAUGGUACACAAAGGAGCAGCACACACACAAGCAGCAGCUGCCCCAGGAGUGCCGGGUCGCAGCAGCUGCCCCAUGAAUGCCGGAUCACAGCAGCUGCCUCAUCAGUGCCGGAUCGCAGCAGCUGCCCCAGGAGUGCCAGAUUGCAGCAGCUGCCAGGACCGCUCUGCAUGCUGUGAAGAGGAUCUGGAGGUCAACAAGGACACUCAGGGCUCUCACCCGUCCGGCACUGCCUAAGGUACAGGAAUUCCCUCCUCCCCACGUGGGGGGUGGUGGUUCUCCCUCCACGGCCAUGAAACGGGGGCAUCUCAGGGUACAGACCUCGCCCCUCUCCACUCUGCCCCUCCUUGCACCCUGGUGUUUUAUCUGAAGGGAUCAGGUAUGGGAGAGGAACAAGGGCAUUUUCAUAAAAUGUAGAGCUGUGUUAUGCCCCAACAUUGGCCAGUGUGGGACCCUACAGGUGGGUCAUGCCUAAGAGCAUGACUAACCAACCAGAGCCUACGCUGCUCAUACAGGAUCCCAUCUGGAUACUUAAGACUAACCAACCAGAGCCUACACUGCUCACACAGGAUCACAUCUGGAUCCUCAAGACUAACCAAGCAGAGCCUACGCUGCUCACAGAAUCACAUCUGGAUCCUCAAGACUAACCAACCAGAGCCUACGCUGCUCACAGAAUCACAUCUGGAUCCUCAAGACUAACCAACCAGAGCCUAUGCUGCUCACAGAAUCACAUCUGGAUCCUCAAGACUAACCAACCAGAGCCUACGCUGCUCACACAGAAUCACAUCUGCAUCCUCAAGACUAACCAACCAGAGCCUACACUGCUCACAGAAUCACAUCUGGAUCCUCAAGACUAACCAACCAGAGCCUACAGUGCUCACACAAGAUCACAUCUGGAUCCUGAAGACUAACCAACCAGAGCUUACACUGCUCACAGAAUCACAUCUGGAUCCUCAAGACUAACCAACCAGAGCCUACGCUGCUCAAAGAAUCACAUCUGGAUCCUCAAGACUAACCAACCAGAGCCUACACUGCUCACACAGGAUCACAUCUGAGUCCUCAAGGCCUACUGUUAGCCAGGCUGCGACGUGGACACUGUAGCAACCAGACUGGAGGAUUUCUACAGGGAACAGAGUCCUCACUCCAAGAAUGAUCAGUGCAGCAUCAUAAAGAUUCAAAAUACGUCUACAGAACCCCCAGAAAGACAUGUCUCAAGUUAGCCCACAAGGUUUUAGAACACAGGGAAGCGACUGCUAUCUUCCAUACAUUCACAACACUUCAAGUGUCAAUCACCACGUUUACUAAAGGGUGAGGAAAGAUGUAAUGUAAAAAAUGACUUCCCAACAAUUCUCACCCUCCUAAGGUUUUUCUUCAUUGUGA